rnacentral:rRNA from 1 species
UACGUAGGGACCAAGCGUUGUUCGGAUUUACUGGGCGUAAAGGGCGCGUAGGCGGCUUGUCAAGUCACUUGUGAAAUCUCUGGGCUUAACCCAGAACGGCCAAGUGAAACUGACAUGCUAGAGUGCAGAAGGGGCAAUCGGAAUUCUUGGUGUAGCGGUGAAAUGCGCAGAUAUCAGGAGGAACACCGAUGGCGAAGGCAGGUCUCUGGGCAUUAACUGACGCUGAGGAGCGAAAGCAUGGGGAGCGAACAGG